GAUGAACGCUGGCGGCGUGCCUAAUACAUGCAAGUCGAGCGAAUGGAUUAAGAGCUUGCUCCUAUGACGUUAGCGGCGGACGGGUGAGUAACACGUGGGUAACCUGCCCAUAAGACUGGGAUAACUCCGGGAAACCGGGGUAAAUACCGGAUAACAUUUUGAACCGCAUGGUUCGAAAUUGAAAGGCGGUUUCGGCUGUCACUUAUGGAUGGACCCGCGUCGAAUUAGCUAGUUGGUGAGGUAACGGCUCACCAAGGCAACGAUGCGUAGCCGACCUGAGAGGGUGAUCGGCCACACUGGGACUGAGACACGGCCCAGACUCCUACGGGAGGCAGCAGUAGGGAAUCUUCCGCAAUGGACGAAAGUCUGACGGAGCAACGCCGCGUGAGUGAUGAAGGCUUUCGGGUCGUAAAACUCUGUUGUUAGGGAAGAACAAGUGCUAGUUGAAUAAGCUGGCACCUUGACGGUACCUAACCAGAAAGCCACGGCUAACUACGUGCCAGCCGCCGCAGUAA
rnacentral:rRNA from 1 species